rnacentral:lncRNA from 1 species
CACGAGGAGGGAGAUGCAUCAGGGAGGUUUCACGCUGCUCACCGGCGAAGCCCUCCAACGAGCGGCCAGACCCAGGCGAGGUGGAUUUCGUCGGUGAGGCCCUGUUCCCUUCCUCCUCUUCUGCGCGAUGGCGAGGUGGAUUUCGUCAGUGAGGUCCUGUUCCCUACCUCCUCUUUUGCGCGAUCUGGCCUAGUGGUACGGAACCUCCUAGAUUUGGCUUUCUUUUUGCACUCCACUAUUCUCCGGCAUGUCGUCGUACAUCCUUUGGUUCCGUGACCUUUGCACCGAGGGGAGACUCUGGUCUUCCCACCUAUAAACAUUUCGGUUCUUCUCAACGAAGAGACGGCGACGAACUCCACCACGAUGAACUGCUCACUUUUAACUGAAAUUUACCUUCCAUCUCUAUGUAAUUCCUUUUAUACUCUGACUGCACAACAGCUCUAGGUUCGAAUUUACUCUCUCCCGUAGGGUCGCCGGGAUCCUGACGUUGCAAAUUGCAUUGCCUGCAUGCCUUAUUUCUUAGAUCUCUGCCUACAGAUGCCUAAUUAUUUUUGUUUAAUGUGUUAUGUGCAGGGUUAUUGCCAGGAGUGGUCUUUUGGGUUUUGCGAGAACGGCAUGUCCAGGACUCCAGGUUAAAACCAGCCGCCCUGCGAGCAAGAGCACCAUGUACCUCUACUAGGAGGGCAUGCCAUAUUUUCCACAAGCUUAGCCGCGAGUCAUACGACUUCCUCCGCAGGAACUGUAACCACUUGUACUACGCUCUGCCAUAAUCUCCGCAUCCCCAAGCUUCCAAGUAAGGGUAGGAGAUUUAGUCAUUGUUCUUCUGAUUAGCCACUGAACUAAGGUCUUCUUUAUAAAAAUUAGUCACUGGACUGUAUUUGUAGGCAGUGUGUGGUGGCGUUUGACACAUCUUAAUAUCAUGAUUUACUAUAGAAAUGGCCACAUAAUCUGUAGUAUUUUUUUUCCAAAACCAGAAUUGGUCCAACUGUAAUUUUCUUGUUACUUCUCAGAAUUGAAGCUUGGUACCGAUACUAGCUGCAUACCAGUACUAGAAAAAAAAUCUGAUUUGGCCACACUCC